UACGGAGGGUGCAAGCGUUAUCCGGAUUCACUGGGUUUAAAGGGUGCGUAGGUGGGUUUGUAAGUCAGUGGUGAAAUCUCCAAGCUUAACUUGGAACUGCCGUUGAUACUAUAAAUCUUGAAUGUUGUGGAGGUGAGCGGAAUAUGUCAUGUAGCGGUGAAAUGCUUAGAUAUGACAUAGAACACCAAUUGCGAAGGCAGCUCACUAACACAAAGAUUGACACUGAGGCACGAAAGC
rnacentral:rRNA from 1 species